rnacentral:rRNA from 1 species
AUUGAACGCUGGCGGCAGGCCUAACACAUGCAAGUCGAGCGCGCGUAGGACGGGUGAGUAAUGUCUGGGAAACUGCCUGAUGGAGGGGGAUAGGUAUUGGAAUCGGUAGCUAAUACCGAUAACAAUCGGAUAUGCCAAGGUGGGCUUAGCUAGUAGGUGGGGUAACGGCUCACCUAAGCGCCGAUCCCUAGCUGGUCUGCGCGGCUGACCAGCCAACCUGGAACUUAGACAUGGUCCAGACUCCUACGGUAGGCAGCAGUGGGGAAGAUUGCAAAAUGGGCGCAAGCCUGAUGCAGCCAUGCCGCGUGUGUGAAGAAGGCCUUCGGGUUGUAAAGUACUUUCAGCGGGGAGGCGUUACCCGCAGAAGAAGCACCGGCUAACUCCGUGCCAGCAGCCGCGGUAAUUC